rnacentral:tRNA from 1 species
GUGGCAGUGCUGUCCGCUUUGUAAGCGGAUGAUUCUGGGUUCGAUUCCCAUCUGCUGCA